UACGAAGGGGGCUAGCGUUGCUCGGAAUCACUGGGCGUAAAGCGCACGUAGGCGGUUUGCUAAGUCAGGGGUGAAAUCCUGGAGCUCAACUCCAGAACUGCCCUUGAUACUGGCGGUCUCGAGUCCGGGAGAGGUGAGUGGAACUGCGAGUGUAGAGGUGAAAUUCGUAGAUAUUCGCAAGAACACCAGUGGCGAAGGCGGCUCACUGGCCCGGUACUGACGCUGAGGUGCGAAAGCGUGGGGAGCGAACAGG
rnacentral:rRNA from 1 species